GACGAACGCUGGCGGCGUGCUUAACACAUGCAAGUCGAACGGAAAGGCCCUGCUUUUGUGGGGUGCUCGAGUGGCGAACGGGUGAGUAACACGUGAGUAACCUGCCCUUGACUUUGGGAUAACUUCAGGAAACUGGGGCUAAUACCGGAUAGGAGCUCCUGCUGCAUGGUGGGGGUUGGAAAGUUUCGGCGGUUGGGGAUGGACUCGCGGCUUAUCAGCUUGUUGGUGGGGUAGUGGCUUACCAAGGCUUGGACGGGUAGCCGGCCUGCGAGGGUGACCGGCCACAUUGGGACUGAGAUACGGCCCAGACUCCUACGGGAGGCAGCAGUGGGGAAUAUUGCACAAUGGGCGGAAGCCGGAUGCAGCAACGCCGCGUGCGGGAUGACGGCCUUCGGGUUGUAAACCGCUUUCGCCUGUGACGAAGCGUGAGUGACGGUAAUGGGUAAAGAAGCACCGGCUAACUACGUG
rnacentral:rRNA from 1 species